rnacentral:rRNA from 1 species
ACAAAUGCCCUGCUUCCAGGAAAAGCCUCUAAGCAUCAGGUAACAUCAAAUCGUACCCCAAACCGACACAGGUGGUCAGGUAGAGAAUACCAAGGCGCUUGAGAGAACUCGGGUGAAGGAACUAGGCAAAAUGGUGCCGUAACUUCGGGAGAAGGCACGCUGAUAUGUAGGUGAAGCGACUUGCUCGUGGAGCUGAAAUCAGUCGAAGAUACCAGCUGGCUGCAACUGUUUAUUAAAAACACAGCACUGUGCAAACACGAAAGUGGACGUAUACGGUGUGACGCCUGCCCGGUGCCGGAAGGUUAAUUGAUGGGGUUAGCGGUAACGCGAAGCUCUUGAUCGAAGCCCCGGUAAACGGCGGCCGUAACUAUAACGGUCCUAAGGUAGCGAAAUUCCUUGUCGGGUAAGUUCCGACCUGCACGAAUGGCGUAAUGAUGGCCAGGCUGUCUCCGCCCGAGACUCAGUGAAAUUGAACUCGCUGUGAAGAUGCAGUGUACCCGCGGCAAGACGGAAAGACCCCGUGAACCUUUACUAUAGCUUGACACUGAACAUUGAGCCUUGAUGUGUAGGAUAGGUGGGAGGCUUUGAAGUGUGGACGCCAGUCUGCAUGGAGCCGACCUUGAAAUACCACCCUUUAAUGUUUGAUGUUCUAACGUUGGCCCGUAAUCCGGGUUGCGGACAGUGUCUGGUGGGUAGUUUGACUGGGGCGGUCUCCUCCUAAAGAGUAACGGAGGAGCACGAAGGUUGGCUAAUCCUGGUCGGACAUCAGGAGGUUAGUGCAAUGGCAUAAGCCAGCUUGACUGCGAGCGUGACGGCGCGAGCAGGUGCGAAAGCAGGUCAUAGUGAUCCGGUGGUUCUGAAUGGAAGGGCCAUCGCUCAACGGAUAAAAGGUACUCCGGGGAUAACAGGCUGAUACCGCCCAAGAGUUCAUAUCGACGGCGGUGUUUGGCACCUCGAUGUCGGCUCAUCACAUCCUGGGGCUGAAGUAGGUCCCAAGGGUAUGGCUGUUCGCCAUUUAAAGUGGUACGCGAGCUGGGUUUAGAACGUCGUGAGACAGUUCGGUCCCUAUCUGCCGUGGGCGCUGGAGAACUGAGGGGGGCUGCUCCUAGUACGAGAGGACCGGAGUGGACGCAUCACUGGUGUUCGGGUUGUCAUGCCAAUGGCACUGCCCGGUAGCUAAAUGCGGAAGAGAUAAGUGCUGAAAGCAUCUAAGCACGAAACUUGCCCCGAGAUGAGUUCUCCCUGAGACUUUAAGUCUCCUGAAGGAACGUUGAAGACGACGACGUUGAUAGGCCGGGUGUGUAAGCGCAGCGAUGCGUUGAGCUAACCGGUACUAAUGAACCGUGAGGCUUAACCUU